AUUGAACGCUGGCGGCAUGCCUUACACAUGCAAGUCGAACGGUAACAGGUCUUCGGAUGCUGACGAGUGGCGAACGGGUGAGUAAUACAUCGGAACGUGCCUAGUAGUGGGGGAUAACUACUCGAAAGAGUGGCUAAUACCGCAUGAGAUCUACGGAUGAAAGCAGGGGAUCGCAAGACCUUGUGCUACUAGAGCGGCCGAUGGCAGAUUAGGUAGUUGGUGGGAUAAAAGCUUACCAAGCCGACGAUCUGUAGCUGGUCUGAGGGGACGAUCAGCUACACUGGGAAUGAGACACGGCCCAGACUCCUACGGGAGGCAGCAGUGGGGAAUUUUGGACAAUGGGCGAAAGCCUGAUCCAGCAAUGCCGCGUGCAGGAUGAAGGCCUUCGGGUUGUAAACUGCUUUUGUACGGAACGAAAAGCCCCGGGUUAAUACCCUGGGGUCAUGACGGUACCGUAAGAAUAAGCACCGGCUAACUACGUGCCAGCCGCCGCAGUAA
rnacentral:rRNA from 1 species